rnacentral:tRNA from 1 species
GAGGGUAUAGCUCAGUGGUAGAGUGCAUGCCUAGCAUGCAUGAGGUCCUGGGUUCAACUCCAGUACCUCUA